UGGGGAAUAUUGGACAAUGGGCGAAAGCCUGAUCCAGCAACGCCGCGUGAGGGAUGACGGCCUUCGGGUUGUAAACCUCUUUCAGCAGGGACGAAGCGAAAGUGACGGUACCUGCAAAAGAAGCACCGGCCAACUACGUGCCAGCAGCCGCGGUAAUACGUAGGGUGCGAGCGUUGUCCGGAAUUAUUGGGCGUAAAGGGCUCGUAGGCGGUUUGUCACGUCGGGAGUGAAAACUCGGGGCUCAACCCCGAGCUUGCUUCCGAUACGGGCUAACUAGAGGUAUGCAGGGGAGAACGGAAUUCCUGGUGUAGCGGUGAAAUGCGCAGAUAUCAGGAGGAACACCGGUGGCGAAGGCGGUUCUCUGGGCAUUACCUGACGCUGAGGAGCGAAAGUGUGGGGAGCGAACAGG
rnacentral:rRNA from 2 species